GGAGAGGUGGCAGAGUGGCCGAAUGCGCUGGUUUCGAAAACCAGUAGGCCUUUGCGGGUCUCGUGGGUUCAAAUCCCACCCUCUCCGCCA
rnacentral:tRNA from 1 species